GGGGAAUAUUGCGCAAUGGGGGGAACCCUGACGCAGCAACGCCGCGUGAAGGAAGAAGGCCUUCGGGUCGUAAACUUCUGUCUUUAGGGACGAUAAUGACGGUACCUAAGGAGGAAGCCACGGCUAACUACGUGCCAGCAGCCGCGGUAAUACGUAGGUGGCGAGCGUUGUCCGGAAUUACUGGGCGUAAAGGGUGCGUAGGCGGAUAUUUAAGUCAGAUGUGAAAUUCCAAAGCUCAACUUUGGAAUUGCAUUUGAAACUGGGUAUCUAGAGUGCAGGAGAGGAAAGCGGAAUUCCUAGUGUAGCGGUGAAAUGCGUAGAUAUUAGGAAGAACACCAGUGGCGAAGGCGGCUUUCUGGACUGUAACUGACGCUGAGGCACGAAAGCGUGGGGAGCAAAC
rnacentral:rRNA from 1 species